UUGAUGGACGGUCCCUCAAUCGCGCGCGGAACAUGUCCGAUCAUGCACAAAAAUAUAAUGAACAAAGUGCCAACAAAAGACAACGUGACGUAAAUGAAGCAAAGGAUGUUGGCAAUUGCAAACGCUUUUGCAGCGAUAGCCUCUUUUGGCCAGAAAGCGACGAAGAUAGUUUCUUUUCCAAUGCAAAACUCGAGGAUAUUGUCAGCGGGCGCAAUGAGGAGCUCUUCGGUACACAGGCGCCAACGAGCAAUAAACCGUUGCAACAGAGUGGAUCUGACGAUGGCCUUUUUGCCGACAUUACAUAUCCCGGCACCCAAAAAGCCGAGGAAAAUGAAGCUCCAACUAAAGAAAAUGAGGAGGAAGCCGGCACGCUGUUCAAGCAGAUCAAUCUCCAUGAUCUAAGCAUUGCCGAAAUGGAGAAUAUUUUCCACGGAGCAGAGGACUUUAGUGAACCAAUUGCACAGAACACGCAACUCUUCCUUGAUGCAGUUGCCUUCAAAGUGCCCAAUCCCAAGACCCCAGAGAGAGCAGAAAAAUCGCUGGCUCCGAUCAGCGACGAGUCCAUGUCCGCCAUUGAGGGCCUGGUGCUUGGCACGCAAUAUGCCACCUGCCACGAGCUGAAAAACCAAUCAAUACUCGACCCAAGCAAUUGGGAGAGUCAGGCCUUUGCCGACUUUGAGCAGAAGAGCCUGCUGCCCAAGGACAGCUUCCCAAGCAAGGGCGACUUCUAUGGUCUGCCGGAAAGGGUCAGGAAGAUGAUACUGGAGCACAAGGGCAUCCAGAGUCUGUAUGAAUGGCAGGACGAGUGCCUGAAUCUGCCGGCCAUACGCCAGCGAAAGAAUCUAAUCUAUGCUCUGCCCACCAGCGGGGGUAAAACCCUAGUGGCAGAGAUUCUCAUGCUGCGCGAACUGCUGUGCCGGGAGCGAAAUGUGCUGUUCAUAUUGCCCUACGUCUCGAUUGUCCAGGAGAAAGUCAGCGCCAUGUCUCCAUUUGCCAUUGAGUUGGACUUUAUUGUCGAUGAAUACACGGCCGGCAAGGGCAAGUGUCCGCCGCAGCCUCGUCGCAAGCGUCGCAGCUUGUUUAUUGCUUCAAUCGAGAAGGGUGCCGUGCUGAUGGACAGUCUGAUUGAUGUGCAACGUCCCCAUGAGAUUGGCCUAGUGGUGGUCGAUGAGCUGCAUUUGAUUGGCGAACGGGGACGCGGUGCCACCCUGGAGGCAUUUCUCACUAAAGUUAUGUUUUUGAAUGCAAACAUACAAAUUGUGGGCAUGAGUGCAACAAUCGGAAACUUAAGCGAGAUUUCUGCCUUUCUCAAUGCCGAUGUCUACACGCGCGGCUUUCGGCCAGUGGAGCUGAAGGAGUACAUCAAGUGUGGCUCCGAUUUGUUGGAAAUCAACUCGUCGGGCCACAAGCUCGAGGAGAUAUUUGUGCCCAGCCGCACAGUUGACUUUAAUUACAGCGAAGCUGUAAAGCGUGCGGAUCCCGAUCAGUUGGCUGGCUUAAUCAGCGAAUGUGCGCCAGAGCAUUGCUGCCUCGUGUUCUGCCCCAGCCGCAAGAACUGCGAGAAUGUGGCCCUGCUGCUGAGCCGCAUUGUGCCCAAGGCAAAGUUCUUUGCGCAUCGCCGCAGCGAAAAGGUCGAUCUGAUGGAUGCCCUGGACAAGGUGUGUGGCGUUCUCAGCCCCGUGCUGGCCAAAACGCUGCCCUACGGCAUUGCCUAUCACCACUCCGGCCUCACCACCGACGAGCGCAAGUACAUUGAGACCGCCUAUCGCUUUGGCGUCGUCACCGUCAUCUGCUGCACCUCCACCCUGGCCGCGGGCGUCAAUCUGCCAGCCAAGCGGGUCAUCAUACGCGCUCCCUACGUGGGCCAGCAGUUCAUGACGCUGUGCAAGUACAAGCAAAUGGUGGGGCGCGCCGGACGUGCUGGCCUCGGGGAGGCAGGCGAGAGUAUUCUAAUUGCCCAAAGCAAAGACAAUCUGCAGGUAGGGCAAAUGCUCUUCUCACCCAUGGACAAGGCGCUGAGUUCGUUGUACGAGCAGGAGGCAGUGGGCUUGCAGUCACUCAUUCUGAGCGUAAUUGGGCUAAAACUGGCCGACUGCCGUCGCGAUUUGAACAGCCUGGUGAACAGCACACUCCUUGCGGUGCAGGCGAAUGCCCUGGAGGUGGCCGUGGACGAGCUGGUGCUCCGCAUACUCAAAGAAAUGUUCAAGAACAAAGUGCUGCAGCUGUCGGAGGCCAAGCCAAAGGCGACAAACUGUUCGGUUAUCAUAACCACACAGGAUGGCGACCAAAGCACACGUCCUGCAGGCGAUCGUCGUCUAUUGAUCGGCCAAUCCACGCGCUUCAAGCUCACGGACAUUGGACGGGCUGCCUUCAAGGCGGGCAUUGAUUACAAGCGUGCCAGUGCCAUACACACCGAACUGAAGCAGGCCCAGCAGCAGCUCAUUCUCAGCAGCUACUCGCAUCUGCUGUAUCUCGUGGUGUGCUUCAACUCGAACGAGCGAGGAGAUGAGCUGUUCCCCGCCGAUGCCAGCAUUCUGUUCAAUGUCUACACAUCGCUCUCCACCGAAUCGCAGGCGCUGUUCAAGCAACUCGGCUUCACCGAGGCCCAUGCGGCGAGGCUCUACAAGACGCAGUCCGUGCAGGGUCCCAUGUCGCUGCAGCUGAAUCGCCUCUACAAAGUGCUCAUCCUGUCGGAUAUCCUCGAUCUGCUGCCGCUGCCCACAGUCUCUGGCAAAUACAACGUGGAACGUGGCACGCUGCAGCAUCUGAUUAGCCAAUCGAUUGCCGCCUCCAGUGCCAUUGUGCGGCUGUGCGAGGAGAUGGCAGAGUUCUGGUGCUACAAGCCACUGUUCGAGCGCAUCCUGCACAAAAUGGAUCGCUGUGGCACGCUAGAACUGGAGCCACUCAUGGAGCUGCCGGGUGUUAAAAUUAAUCGCGCCAAGCAGCUGUAUGCAGCGGGCUUCAGAACCAUCGAGGACUUGGCCAGAAUACGGCCCAUGAUCUUAGUGCAAAGCGUCGAGCAUAUGCCACUGCGCGUGGCCACGGAAAUUGUCUCAGCAGCAAAGAUUAUUUUGAUGAAGAAACUCGAUCACUUGGAGGAGGAAACGGAGAACCUGAAGGUCUGCCUGCGCUCGAGUGAUUAGAGGCGUGGCUAGUGGCUGGAUUCCCACGGAUAGGCAGACUCCCAAAAAGAGCAGACCGGGGAGCACGACAAUAAAUUGUCUGGGUCUCGAUGAGCAGGCAGGCCUCAGCUCAGCUCACCUUACCCGCAUUGUCUUGGCCAAGUUCAAAUUCAAGGCUAAGCACGAUGACAAAUGCCGAUGCAGUUCGGUUCUCAAACUAAUGUUGGACUCCAAUCAAAGUUAAUCUCCAAUCUACACAAAAUAAUCAUCUAACAAAUAAAAGGACUUGCUCUACGCUUGCUUCAGGGUCUUUGCUCCGCUCCCUCAGGC